rnacentral:rRNA from 1 species
UACGUAGGGAGCGAGCGUUAUCCGGAUUUAUUGGGCGUAAAGGGUGCGCAGGCGGUCUUGUAAGUUAGGUGUUAAAGGCAUGAGCUCAACUCAUGUACGCGCUUAAAACUCCAAGACUAGGGUAUGUCAGAGGAAAGUGGAACUAAUAGUGUAGCGGUGAAAUGCGUAGAUAUUAUUAGGAACACCAGUGGCGAAGGCGACUUUCUGGGACAUUACCGACGCUCAUGCACGAAAGCAUGGGGAGCGAACAGG